rnacentral:rRNA from 1 species
UGGGGAAUAUUGGACAAUGGGCGGAAGCCUGAUCCAGCAACGCCGCGUGAGGGAUGACGGCCUUCGGGUUGUAAACCUCUUUCAGCGGGGACGAAGCGCAAGUGACGGUACCCGCAGAAGAAGCACCGGCCAACUACGUGCCAGCAGCCGCGGUAAUACGUAGGGUGCGAGCGUUGUCCGGAAUUAUUGGGCGUAAAGGGCUCGUAGGCGGUUUGUCGCGUCGGGAGUGAAAACACCGGGCUUAACUCGGUGCUUGCUUUCGAUACGGGCAGACUAGAGGUAUUCAGGGGAGAACGGAAUUCCUGGUGUAGCGGUGAAAUGCGCAGAUAUCAGGAGGAACACCGGUGGCGAAGGCGGUUCUCUGGGAAUAUCCUGACGCUGAGGAGCGAAAGUGUGGGGAGCGAACAGGAUUAGAUACCCUGGUA